rnacentral:rRNA from 1 species
AGUCGAGCGAGUCUGCCUUGAAGAUCGGAGUGCUUGCACUCUGUGAAACAAGAUACAGGCUAGCGGCGGACGGGUGAGUAACACGUGGGUAACCUGCCCAAGAGAUCGGGAUAACACCUGGAAACAGAUGCUAAUACCGGAUAACAACAGAUGAUGCCUAUCAACUGUUUAAAAGAUGGUUCUGCUAUCACUCUUGGAUGGACCUGCGGUGCAUUAGCUAGUUGGUAGGGUAACGGCCUACCAAGGCGAUGAUGCAUAGCCGAGUUGAGAGACUGAUCGGCCACAUUGGGACUGAGACACGGCCCAAACUCCUACGGGAGGCAGCAGUAGGGAAUCUUCCACAAUGGACGCAAGUCUGAUGGAGCAACGCCGCGUGAGUGAAGAAGGGUUUCGGCUCGUAAAGCUCUGUUGUUGGUGAAGAAGGACAGGGGUAGUAACUGACCUUUGUUUGACGGUAAUCAAUUAGAAAGUCACGGCUAACUACGUGCCAGCAGCCGCGGUAAUACGUAGGUGGCAAGCGUUGUCCGGAUUUAUUGGGCGUAAAGCGAGUGCAGGCGGCUCGAUAAGUCUGAUGUGAAAGCCUUCGGCUCAACCGGAGAAUUGCAUCAGAAACUGUCGAGCUUGAGUACAGAAGAGGAGAGUGGAACUCCAUGUGUAGCGGUGA